AUUGAACGCUGGCGGCAUGCCUUACACAUGCAAGUCGAACGGCAGCGGGGACUUCGGUCCGCCGGCGAGUGGCGAACGGGUGAGUAAUGUAUCGGAACGUACCUUUCAGUGGGGGAUAACGUAGCGAAAGUUACGCUAAUACCGCAUAUUCUCUGAGGAGGAAAGCAGGGGACCUUCGGGCCUUGUGCUGAUGGAGCGGCCGAUAUCAGAUUAGCUAGUUGGUGAGGUAAAGGCUCACCAAGGCGACGAUCUGUAGCGGGUCUGAGAGGAUGAUCCGCCACACUGGGACUGAGACACGGCCCAGACUCCUACGGGAGGCAGCAGUGGGGAAUUUUGGACAAUGGGCGCAAGCCUGAUCCAGCAAUGCCGCGUGCAGGAAGAAGGCCUUCGGGUUGUAAACUGCUUUUGUCAGGGAAGAAAUCCUCUAGGUUAAUACCCUUGGGGGGAUGACGGUACCUGAAGAAUAAGCACCGGCUAACUACGUGCCAGCAGCCGCCGUAAGAC
rnacentral:rRNA from 1 species